GCGUAACGUCCUUUCUGCUGGCGACGGUCAGUGAAGGUGUAACAUCUGUGUGUCUCUUAUUAGUCGAAAUUUUUGUAGUUUGAAUGCUCUUGUUUAUUUUUUUAGUACUUCGAAACUAAUUUAGUUUCUUAUGUAUAUCGGUUCAGCCUACGUGUGUUGUAAAUUGAAGCAUUUAGCCUGCCUCCGGUUUUUUUUUUUACUGUAAAAUAUAAAUAGUCAAAAGAGGUGUUUUCCCAAUCAUAUCGAUGUGACGGACCCAUUGGAUUGUACUCCGAACCCGCGUUUAUGGACAUGAGGGACCCGCGUGUAUGAAUAUGAGGUACCUUAGCGACUGAAAGCGGUUGAAGUGUUGAAUAAGGCAUUUGCUUCAUGUGACCAAACUUCCUUCAAAGGAUUUGAAUGAAUUCCACAUCUUGGAAUUUUUUUUUAAAACCAUUUUUACAAUUAUUUUGUAGAAAAGCUAGUAUGUAUAUAAUUGUAAGCUGUAGUAUGUCUGCGUGCUUGCUAUCCUUGGAACUCUGAAAAAUGCCAGCAGUGUAUAUGCUGUCAGUGAUUUAGUGAUUUGAAACCACUACAAUAAAAACCUAUUUUAAAAUA